rnacentral:rRNA from 1 species
AGAGUUUGAUCCUGGCUCAGGACGAACGCUGGCGGCGUGCUUAACACAUGCAAGUCGAACGGAAAGGCCCUUCGGGGUACUCGAGUGGCGAACGGGUGAGUAACACGUGGGUGAUCUGCCCUGCACUCUGGGAUAAGCCUGGGAAACUGGGUCUAAUACCGGAUAGGACCGCAUGCUUCAUGGUGUGUGGUGCAAAGCUUUUGCGGUGUGGGAUGAGCCCGCGGCCUAUCAGCUUGUUGGUGGGGUAAUGGCCUACCAAGGCGACGACGGGUAGCCGGCCUGAGAGGGUGACCGGCCACACUGGGACUGAGAUACGGCCCAGACUCCUACGGGAGGCAGCAGUGGGGAAUAUUGCACAAUGGGCGCAAGCCUGAUGCAGCGACGCCGCGUGAGGGAUGACGGCCUUCGGGUUGUAAACCUCUUUCAGUAGGGACGAAGCGAAAGUGACGGUACCUACAGAAGAAGGACCGGCCAACUACGUGCCAGCAGCCGCGGUAAUACGUAGGGUCCGAGCGUUGUCCGGAAUUACUGGGCGUAAAGAGCUCGUAGGUGGUUUGUCGCGUUGUUCGUGAAAACUCACAGCUUAACUGUGGGCGUGCGGGCGAUACGGGCAGACUAGAGUACUGCAGGGGAGACUGGAAUUCCUGGUGUAGCGGUGGAAUGCGCAGAUAUCAGGAGGAACACCGGUGGCGAAGGCGGGUCUCUGGGCAGUAACUGACGCUGAGGAGCGAAAGCGUGGGUAGCGAACAGGAUUAGAUACCCUGGUAGUCCACGCCGUAAACGGUGGGUAAAAGGUGUGGG